GUCGAGCGAAGCGGUAAAGUGGAUUUCUUCGGAAAGAUGCUUUGCUGACUUAGCGGCGGACGGGUGAGUAACGCGUGGGUAACCUGCCUCAUACAGGGGGAUAACAGUUAUAAAUGACUGCUAAUACCGCAUAAGCGCACGGGACUGCAUGGUCCAGUGUGAAAAACCGAGGUGGUAUGAGAUGGACCCGCGUCUGAUUAGCUGGUUGGCGGGGUAACGGCCCACCAAGGCGACGAUCAGUAGCCGACCUGAGAGGGUGGCCGGCCACAUUGGGACUGAGACACGGCCCAAACUCCUACGGGAGGCAGCAGUGGGGAAUAUUGCACAAUGGGGGAAACCCUGAUGCAGCAACGCCGCGUGAGUGAAGAAGUAUUUCGGUAUGUAAAGCUCUAUCAGCAGGGAAGAGAAUGACGGUACCUGACUAAGAAGCCCCGGCUAACUACGUGCCAGCAGCCGCGGUAAUACGUAGGGGGCGAGCGUUAUCCGGAUUUACUGGGUGUAAAGGGAGCGUAGACGGUUCUGCAAGUCUGAAUUGAAAGCC
rnacentral:rRNA from 1 species